rnacentral:lncRNA from 1 species
UGACACAGUGAUGAGAGACUUGCAAGCAAUCAGGUUUUUGCAACAUCAAUUAAUCCAAGAAGCGAUUUUAUGCUGUACCUCCUUACUGAUCGGUAACCAUGCAUGAGGUUACACGUCCCCUCCCCCACCAAGAAUGUGCCUCCCUGCUGCAUUAGUAACUAUCUCUUCAACGCAUAUUCAGUUACCAGUCUCCCUCUAUAAUCAGCAGCAGCUUUUUUUUUGCAUUCUAGUAGACUAAAAGGACUGCAGUCGUUCAAAAUGCACUUUGUAGGUAUUUUAAUACUUGUCCAGAAUGUGUAGGUUCAGUUACAUUGUGUAGUGAAUUUAACAUGAAUCAUCUUAUUUUUAUCAUGCAAAAUAAACGUUAGUUUGUUUCUUUCAGUGAAAUACACAUGCUGUGAAUGAAAAUGCAUAAUUUCAAGUACAGGCAGUCGCUGCUGUCCCUUCAUCAGCACCUCUGUCUCAGAUCUCCAAUGCAGCAAAAUUCCUGGUGCUUCUGAACAUUUUGAAUGCCUUGCAGUUGGAGCAGCACAGCAAAGUUUGUCACAGGCAUUAUACCAUUUUCAUAUUGUAUGGUAAAUUUAAACCCUUUGAAGCUGCACCACAGAAGACUAGAAAAGCUGGUAAGUUGAUAAUAUACAGGGACAUUGAAUAGUGUUAUGUAUGUA